rnacentral:rRNA from 1 species
AUUCCAGCUCCAAUAGCGUAUAUUUAAGUUGUUGCAGUUAAAAAGCUCGUAGUUGGAUUUCGGGUGGGCUGCGCCGGUCUCCUAACGGUUGUACUGGCGACGCCUGCCUUGCUGCCGGGGACGGGCUCCUGCCUUUACUGUCGGGACCCGGAAUCGGCGACGUUACUUUGAGUAAAUUAGGGUGUUCAAAGCAAGCCUACGCUCUGAAUAUAAUAGCAUGGGAUAACACGACAGGACUCUGGCCUAUCGUGUUGGUCUGUAGGACCAGAGUAAUGAUUAAGAGGGACAGUCGGGGGCAUUCGUAUUCCGUUGUCAGAGGUGAAAUUCUUGGAUUUACGGAAGACGAACAUCUGCGAAAGCAUUUGCCAAGGAUGUUUUCAUUA